rnacentral:lncRNA from 1 species
CGUGUGUGUGUACGUGUGUGUGUGUGACUGUGUGUGUACGUGCGUGCGUUUGUGUGACUGUGUGUGUGUGCGUGCGUGCGUGUGUGUGUGCAGGAGAGCAGGGAGCGGGAGCGUCUGCUGGAUUCUCUUCAGAAAGAGAGAGACACUGUGAUCUCUAAACACACAACACAACUACACAAACUACAGCACACACUGGACACACAGCUGCAGGAGAUGCGCAGGACACACUCUCAGAAGGAGUCAGCUCUACAGGAGUGGAUGGAGAAGCUGGAGAUACAAACCAAAGAACUUCAAACUCAGGAGGCUGAACUUCAGUCAAAGGCAUCAGAUCUGAGGAAGAGGAGACAGCAGCUGUGUGAGGAAGAGGAGGACGCUCAGAGAGGAUUACAGUCUCUCCCGCAGCUGCUGAAGGAGCGGGAUGAGCUGCGUGAGGAGCUGCAGAGGAUGAGAGCAGAUCUGCAAAGAGAGAGACAGGAGCGAGAGCGACAGAGAGAGGAGAACAGCAGGAUGAUGGAGGAGCGACGGGAGCUGGAGGCCAGAGUCACGCUUCUGCAGGAGCGAUGUGAGCAGCUGACCUCCAGAGUCAGUGAACUGGAGCAGAGGAGCAGAGCGGAGCGAGAACAGCAGCAGGACGGAGCAGAGGACGAGCAGAAGAAGAGCAAGAGAAAGACAGAGAACGGUCUGCGUUUGGAGGAUCUGGAGGCUCCGCUGCUGCGGUCAGACGCCAGCGACACCAGCGUAGACGAGAGGUGAGCGAUCUGGCUGAGCUGAGGGAGACUCUUCAGAAGGGUCAAACGCUCCUGAAAGAAAAAGAGGAGAAACUCAACCAGCUCGAAACAUCACUGACUGAAGAGGUACAACACACACACACACUAUACACCAGGGUUCCUCAAUUAGUUUUCGCCAAAGGCCG